rnacentral:rRNA from 1 species
UCCAGACUCCUACGGGAGGCAGCAGUGAGGAAUAUUGGUCAAUGGCCGAGAGGCUGAACCAGCCAAGUCGCGUGAGGGAUGACGGCCCUACGGGUUGUAAACCUCUUUUGCCGGGGAGCAAAGAGCGGGACGCGUCCCGCCUCGAGAGUACCCGGAGAAAAAGCAUCGGCUAACUCCGUGCCAGCAGCCGCGGUAAUACGGAGGAUGCGAGCGUUAUCCGGAUUUAUUGGGUUUAAAGGGUGCGCAGGCGGGGGCACAAGUCAGCGGUAAAAUCGCGGGGCUCAACCCCGCUCCGCCGUUGAAACUGUGUCCCUUGAGUGCGCGAGGGGUAGGCGGAAUGCGUGGUGUAGCGGUGAAAUGCAUAGAUAUCACGCAGAACUCCGAUCGCGAAGGCAGCCUACCGGCGCGCAACUGACGCUCAUGCACGAAAGCGUGGGUAUCGAACAGGAUUAGAUACCCGAGUAAG